rnacentral:rRNA from 1 species
UACGUAGGGGGCAAGCGUUGUCCGGAAUCAUUGGGCGUAAAGCGCGUGUAGGCGGUCCGAUAAGUCGGUUGUGAAAGUCCAGGGCUCAACCCUGGGAUGCCGACCGAUACUGUCGGACUAGAGUUCGGAAGAGGCGAGUGGAAUUCCCGGUGUAGCGGUGAAAUGCGCAGAUAUCGGGAGGAACACCAAUGGCGAAGGCAGCUCGCUGGGACGUUACUGACGCCGAGACGCGAAAGCGUGGGGAGCAAACAGG